ensembl:antisense Gm16070 predicted gene 16070
GAUCUUUUGUGGGCGUGCACUGUGCCUUUGUGAGUGGAGGACGGCAAGGUCUGGACCCUGGGGGAAGAGAGCCUCUAGCUUCUCCCACCUCUCUCAGAUCAAACACCCUCCCCCUAAGAUUCUCUCUGAUGGGAUGCUGAAAUUACUUACAGUCUGGUUGCAAAGGAGCUAGCCCCAGAACUUGAGGGUAGAUUUGUGCUCUCAUGUGAAGAAGGCCCUUCAUAUAGAGUCACCUUCACGAUUUCAUAACUAAGUGUUUUGGAGAUGCCAGUACCAUGAGAUGACCACCAAGAGCAGCAGCAGUGGAGUACAGGCGGCUGGAGCCUAAAAGACAACAUGUGUGCUACAAAGGGCAUGGCUGGAGAAGUGACCCAAGCCCUUGGAGGAACCCAGAAGAUCUAUGAUGAGCUCUGUGGGCUGCAUGGGACUGUCGCAGCUUAACCCAUCUGUGCAUUGUGGGUUACCAUCAUGGAGCAAUCCAAUACUUCUGUUACCUUCACGAGGCGCCCCAUGUGCUGCAGAAGAAAGUAGAGCUCAGUGUGAAAUGCAGCGCUCAUUUAGACCAUGAGGAAGAAGGAACUGGAAGUUCAAAUAGGGAUAGCUUCAAAGGACUCUACUCCAAGUACACAAAUGCUCAUUUAAUUUCUUCAGGAAAAAGAAUUAAAGUGGCUUGGAUAACUCAUCAAGAAAGGCUCUGAGAGUUGUUGGAAAGUGAUUCUAACUUCAUUAGGGACUCAUGGAAGGUGCCCUGUCACUGGGGAUGGCCUGAAGUUAGUAUUGAAACUGCAGAAGAUCUCGUCUUCAUUUUGCUGUCUCACCAUGAGCUAGCCUCAUUAGCCAGAGAAAUCUAAGGAUGCAGCAGACCCUGCCUGCCCAGUGUUGAGACAACUGGUAACAGCUUCCAUAUGCAGCUUCUUUAUGUGGAUGCUGGAAUUUUGAACUCUAAAUGCAUGCUCAACUGACAAGCACUUUUCUGACCGAGCCAUCAUCCUAGUCCCUACUGUAGUGUUUUACAAACACUUUCUGAAAUGUUGAUUUGUAUCAUGUGUGGUCUCUCUGUAGCACUGAGAAGACAGGUUAAGGUUUGCCAUAAAGCCUGCACUGAGGAGCAGGAAACAGAAAAUGACCAUAUAAACAAGCAGGCAACCAUGUAGUGUAUUUUUCAAUGAUGAGUGUGAUCACAGGCACUCUGCCUUAGAAUCUGCUUAUGCAGCUUAAACUGAAGUCUUUGGAAGUCUAUGGGCUCUGAUCUUAGUCAAGACUGGGGACAAUGGUUUGUUAAUUCUUAUAACUUUAAUAACCCAUGUCUCAAAGUCAGAAAGAAGUGUUUAAAUGUUUGUGAUAAUCUUAUUACUAUAAAUGCUUAUAGCUCUUGUUCAGAUGUUCAUGUUCAUUUCUAACUGCUUUUCAAUCAGCUGCCUCUGCUUUCAUGGGGAUCAGGCCCAUGCUUGUAUGACAUUAGUAUAUGCUUCCAGCUAAGAGCCUGAAAAAUGCCCACUAUGCUAUCUUAGAGUGGUUGUUUGCAUCUCGUGUAUAAAGUUAAACUAGAGGAACUUCUGUUUAAGUGAUUAAUUUUCUGGCAUUCUUCUGUAUUUAGUUUUGACUCUGGAUUUAGUAGUUACAUGAAGUGAAAUUUUACAGAAUUUUCUUCCAUUAGGGUAAAGUAUUUGGAUCAUGAACAAUUAUNNNNNNNNNNNNNNNNNNNNN